rnacentral:tRNA from 1 species
GGUAUUAGCUCAGUUGGUAGAGCAGCUGACUCUUAAUCAGCGGGUCGCAGGUUCGAGCCCUGCAUGCCCC